AUUGAACGCUGGCGGCAUGCUUUACACAUGCAAGUCGAACGGUAACAGGGAGCUUGCUCCGCUGACGAGUGGCGAACGGGUGAGUAAUGCAUCGGAACGUACCCAGUCGUGGGGGAUAACGUAGCGAAAGUUACGCUAAUACCGCAUACGUCCUGAGGGAGAAAGCGGGGGACCGUAAGGCCUCGCGCGAUUGGAGCGGCCGAUGUCAGAUUAGGUAGUUGGUGGGGUAAAGGCUCACCAAGCCAACGAUCUGUAGCUGGUCUGAGAGGACGACCAGCCACACUGGAACUGAGACACGGUCCAGACUCCUACGGGAGGCAGCAGUGGGGAAUUUUGGACAAUGGGCGCAAGCCUGAUCCAGCAAUGCCGCGUGCAGGAUGAAGGCCUUCGGGUUGUAAACUGCUUUUGUACGGACGAAAAGCUUCGGGCUAAUACCCUGAAGUCAUGACGGUACCGUAAGAAUAAGCACCGGCUAACUACGUGCCAGCAGCCGCGGUAAGCUCG
rnacentral:rRNA from 1 species